rnacentral:rRNA from 1 species
GACGAACGCGGCGGCGUGCCUAAUACAUGCAAGUAGAACGCUGAAGGAGGAGCUUGCUUCUCCGGUGAGUUGCGAACGGGUGAGUAACGCGUAGGUAACCUGCCUGGUAGCGGGGGAUAACUAUUGGAAACGAUAGCUAAUACCGCAUAAGAGUAGAUGUUGCAUGACAUUUACUUAAAAGGUGCAAUUGCAUCACUACCAGAUGGACCUGCGUUGUAUUAGCUAGUUGGUGGGGUAACGGCUCACCAAGGCGACGAUACAUAGCCGACCUGAGAGGGUGAUCGGCCACACUGGGACUGAGACACGGCCCAGACUCCUACGGGAGGCAGCAGUAGGGAAUCUUCGGCAAUGGACGGAAGUCUGACCGAGCAACGCCGCGUGAGUGAAGAAGGCUUUU